rnacentral:rRNA from 1 species
AUUGAACGCUGGCGGCAUGCUUUACACAUGCAAGUCGAGCGGCAGCGCGGGGGCAACCCUGGCGGCGAGCGGCGAACGGGUGAGUAAUACAUCGGAACGUACCCCGUAGUGGGGGAUAACUCAGCGAAAGCUGGGCUAAUACCGCAUAUGCUCUACGGAGGAAAGUGGGGGACCGCAAGGCCUCACGCUAUGGGAGCGGCCGAUGUCCGAUUAGCUUGUUGGUGAGGUAAAGGCUCACCAAGGCGACGAUCGGUAGCUGGUCUGAGAGGAUGAUCAGCCACACUGGGACUGAGACACGGCCCAGACUCCUACGGGAGGCAG